UUUAUUAUUUAUUAAGGUAAACAUUUUUAUAUUAAAACAAACAGACAUAAGAUGAAGUAGAAUAUAAGAAUCAUAUGAUUUCAAAGACAAGACUUUUAAAGAGAGUUUGCCCUGGGAGCUGCGUACCGAAUUGGAGCCUCUGGCUUAAGAGUGAUCAUGUUUCUCCAGUAAUACCUCAACGAGGAGGGAGAUCGGGUCUAUACGCUGAAGAAAUUUGACCCGAUGGGACAACAGACCUGCUCAGCCCAUCCUGCUCGGCUCUCCCCAGAUGACAAAUACUCCUGCCACCGAAUCACCAUCAAGAAACGCUUCAAGGUGCUCAAGACCCAGUAACCGUGCCCUAUCCUCUGAAAGUCCGUUAAACUGAUGUCUCUUCUGCUGCCUGUUACCCCUCAGAGAUUCCAUAACCAAACUCCUCAAUCUGUGAGCCCUGAUGCCUUUUUGCCAGCCAUACUCUGUGGCAUCCAGUGUCAUCAUGGCGAUUGAUUAUGUUUGUGUGAGCCUAUCCUGGUGGCAUCACCCGUAAAGGGAGCAUGUUUGACUUUUCUCAUAUUUUAAAUUACUGUGAGAUUAUUAAAGAUAAAAUGAUUUG